rnacentral:rRNA from 1 species
GCUGCUCCUAGUACGAGAGGACCGGAGUGGACGAACCUCUGGUGCACCGGUUGUCACGCCAGUGGCAUGGCCGGGUAGCUAAGUUCGGACGGGAUAACCGCUGAAAGCAUCUAAGCGGGAAGCCUCCCUCAAGAUGAGUUUUCCCAUGAAGCCCGUUGAAGACUACGACGUUGAUAGGCAAGGUGUGGAAGCGCAGUAAUGCGUGAAGCUAACUUGUACUAAUUGGCUGAUUGUCUUGACCAUAUAAUCUGAG